GGUAACUGGAAUUUCUAGUGUAGGAGUGAAAUCCGUAGAUAUUAGAAGGAACACCGAUGGCGUAGGCAGGUUACUGGGCCAUUUCUGACGCUAAGGCACGAAAGCGUGGGGAGCGAACCGGAUUAGAUACCCGGGUAGUCCACGCCGUAAACGAUGGAUACUAGCUGUUGGAGGUAUCGACCCCUUCAGUAGCGAAGCUAACGCGUUAAGUAUCCCGCCUGUGGAGUACGGCCGCAAGGCUAAAACAUAAAGGAAUUGACGGGGACCCGCACAAGCGGUGGAUUAUGUUCUUUAAUUCGAUGAUAACCGAAGAACCUUACCAGGGCUUGACAUCCAGGGAAGGUCUGCGAAAGUAGACUGUGCCUUUUGGAACCCUGUGACAGGUGAUGCAUGGCCGUCGUCAGCUCGUGUCGUGAGAUGUUAGGUUAAGUCCUUCAACGAGCGCAACCCUUGUGAAUAGUUGUAUUUUUCUAUUCAGACUGCCCCGGUAACGGGGAGGAAGGAGGGGAUGAUGUCAGGUCAGUAUUUCCCUUACGUCCUGGGCUAGAAACGUAAUACAAUGGCUAGUACAAUGCGCAGCGAAGCCGCGAGGUGAAGCAAAUCGCAUCAAAGCUAGUCCCAGUUCGGAUUGUAGGCUGAAACUCGCCUGCAUGAAGUCGGAAUCGCUAGUAAUCGCAGAUCAGCAUGCUGCGGUGAAUACGUUCCCGGGUCUUGUACACACCGCCCGUCAAACCAUGAAAGUGACCAACACCCGAAGUCCGAUUCGUCGGCCUAAGGUGGGGGGCAUGAUUGGGGUUAAGUCGUAACAAGGUAUCCGUACCGGAAGGUGCGGAUG
rnacentral:rRNA from 1 species